rnacentral:rRNA from 1 species
UACGUAGGGUGCGAGCGUUAAUCGGAAUUACUGGGCGUAAAGCGUGCGCAGGCGGUUUUGUAAGUCAGAUGUGAAAUCCCCGGGCUCAACCUGGGAACUGCGUUUGAAACUACAAGGCUAGAGUGUGGCAGAAGAAGGUGGAAUUCCACGUGUAGUAGUGAAAUGCGUAGAGAUGUGGAGGAACACCGAUGGCGAAGGCAGCCCCCUGGGUUAACACUGACGCUCAGGCACGAAAGCGUAGGGAGCAAACAGG